CUGCAGCCGGCUGGCCUCGGUCUGAUCGCUAACACCACCGCUUACGAGGCCCUUCUCGGCAGAUGGCCCAUGGAAGCAAAGAGCUGACAGUGUCUUCAAAGGGCAUAAGAACAAAACCAUGUUCUCCUUGGUGUACAAAGAAUCCAGGUGAAUUGCCAUAGAAACAAAAAAUACAAAAUAAAAUAAAAGAUCUCAGUCUUUCUAAACAAGCCACUGGAUAGAAGAGAGACAGAUGAUGCAUCUAUAAAUUAUCAAAUGGAAACACUUUUACAGAAUCUGCCAAGAGAGGUGUCACGAAUACUCGAGCAAUUUUGAUUCUCUGACCAAAAACUCUUUUCAGCCUGAUUGUGAAGAAAGGCUGGUAGGAAUCCAUGCAUGUGCUGGUGGUGGCAGAGAGGAGCUAAGAACACCAGGGAAUAAUGUGUGAGGGAUCCCG